rnacentral:tRNA from 1 species
UCCUCGUUAACUCUGUCGGUAGAGCUCUCCACUUAAAAUGGAGAGGUCCCUGGUUUCAUACUAGGGCCAGGAG